UGCGUAGGCGGAAAAUUAAGUCAGUGAUGAAAUCCUGCAGCUCAACUGUAGAACUGUCAUUGAUACUGAUUUUCUUGAAUUUAGUUGAGGUAGGCGGAAUGUGUAAUGUAGCGGUGAAAUGCUUAGAUAUUACACAGAACACCGAUUGCGAAGGCAGCUUACUAAGCUAACAUUGACGCUGAGGCACGAAAGCGUGGGGAGCGAACAGGAUUAGAUACCCUGGUAGUC
rnacentral:rRNA from 1 species